GCCCGCUGCCUCCCUCACAAAUAUCGCCUACCGCCUGCCUAGGGCUCGUAGGAGGUAAUAGCAGCGCUCCUUAGUGAACCUGAAGGGCUUUCCUAGUUUUGUGUGUUACUGAGGGCUGUUUGCGGUGCUCACUACCGCAAUGGGUCCGUGGGCUGCAUAUUUGCAAACAGCACCUGUGUUAAUGAAGGUGCAUGAGGGCGGUGUGUGGGUUACAGCUGUGCUGUGGUACACCGCUUAAUGUUGCCUUGAUUUUCUGUUUUUAGAGGCUGAUGAUGGGCUUGGCAGAAAUGAAGAAAAAUACUACCUAUCCUGAUUCUUGCCACACUUGAUGGGAAGAUAAGAGCUGGUGAAGCCUCCUGGCAGAAUGCUUGGAAUUUACAACAAUUUACAUCUGUUGACUCUCUAAAUCAGAGGUAACAUCUAGCUUGGCAGCUCUCAAUGUAUGUAUCCUUCAGCAAUUUGUCCAGCUGACUGUGAUACGUGUACGAUCCCAGUACACAUAACAUCCUGCAGCAGGGUGUUCCACAGUGUAGUCAGUGUAGGAAGAAUCACUUUGCUUUCAACCUGACAUUUCGUGCCACUGUUAGGCUGCUGUUCUGUGAACUUUUCCAGUUCUCGCAUGUCCUGUUUGAGAUGGUAGGGUUGAAAAUGCAUACAAUGUUCACGUUGCGAACAUACAUUGGAUUUAGAAAGUGGCAUAACUAUUCUCUGUGUUCUCAAGGUAUUUCCUAAAUAUUUCUAACGUUUAAUACAUUGUUGAACACUACUAAACGCUGAGCUGCUGUUGUUGUAAAUGUACCUAUUAAGUUUCCAAGAUUGCACUCCUGAAGUGCAAUGGUCUGCUGAGUCAUAAGUACUCUACUCAUAGAACAUUUUUUCACCACUUGUGUUACUGACAAUCACUUUAUUGCCAGUCA